GCUGAGGUCAGUAAUUGCCCACUGGGAACUAUAAAUUAUAGUUCUCACGCUCUCUGUUUUAUGUUUUCUUUCAGAGCCUUCCACGCCGGGAGAGGCUAGGGACCGUGGGAAGGGCGUCGCAUCGAGUUAGCCCUUCAGCGAGAGAUGAGUUUAGGUGGUUUACCUCUCGAUGUUUUAUUUUGUGAGAGGUUGAGAGUUGUACCCGUAUAUGUAUAGAGACCACCUUUCUUUUGGAUCUUGGUAUUUCUUUUGAGGAGUUAGUAUUGUAUCACCUUAUGUUUUACUUUCUUCGUCUCGAUAUAUUUCCUUUACUCUGGUUUAGAUGAUAGAACUUUGCUCGCUCUGAUAUCGUUAGUUGUUAUUAUUCUAUUUGUACUAUUUCUUGCUUUUAUUUCUGCUUUAUUGUAGACGCCUUAUAUGUGUAGACAUAUGGCGGGUCUAGGCACGCCACCGGGAGGGCCCCCGCCGGUCCCGGGGCGUGACAGAUUAAUUUGGUAUCAGAGCCUAGGGUUGAGUCUUAGAGGACCUCGCAAACCUUAGGCCGGUUGGACUAUAGGAAUUAGGCUCGUCUCGAGAAUACCCUAUCCUCUAGGGUCAUAAUCAUCGUAUAGUCCAUAGGCGUCGUAUACACCGAGUUCAACAUGCAUCACUUGUUUUCUUAUACACUAUCAACUAGAUUGCCACUUGUCCAUGGUUUACUAUCGACUAGAUGCCACUCAUUCUUUGUUUAUCAUUAGACCAACCAUUGAGUCCAUCUCUUCCUCUGCACUAUAGGAUCCUCAAACCUCGACCCAAUCCUUAUCGAUCCACUAUAUCAAACAUCUAUUACAUGCUACGAUAUCAUCAAGGAAAGCAUAAGGAAAGGCAAUGCACAAUCAUCAUAUAAUGCAAUAAUACAAGAUGCAAGAAUCGACAUGUACUAAGACAUAGAAGGGAGCCCGAUUGCUUCGGGAUGGACACCACCCACCUCUUAGUGAUGCCGCGAUGAUAGAAAGCUCGACGUUGCGGUCUUUGCACGUCGCUUCAACUCCUCGGGGCAAAGCGAGCCCUCGAGUACCCGAUUCGGCGAUAACUCCGCACUCGCUCGUCGGAUCGGCAAACCGUCUUCGCCGACGCGUUCCGAGACCUAGCAAUUUGGUUUACGACCUAUUAAGAUAGAUCAAAACCCUAGAUUUAUCAAAAUCCCAAAUCUGUGCCCUAGAAUGGCAACGAGGGAGAAAUCCGUGGUGCAAGCUUCGAUUGCGAGCCCGAACCAUCUACUUAUCUUCUCUAGGUUCUAUUUGAACCAAUUCUAAGCAAUAAAACCCAAUCCUAAGAAAUCUACCAUGGAUGGGUUUGGAGUUUACCUCUAAGCCAAGGUCCAAGCUUGCCCUAGCUUGAAGGAGAGAGGGAAGAAGACCUUCUUCUUCUUCUUCUUCUCCUUCCACUUCUUCCUCUUUUUCUUCUUUUCUUUCUUCUCCUUCUUCUUCUCCUUCUUUUCUUUCUAGAGAGAGAGAGAGGGAAAGAGUGUGAAAGAGAGAGAGAAAGAGCAACUGGGAGGGAGAAAGGGGGGUCCCUAAGCCCUCAUAUAGGCCAUUUUGCAGAUAGCCCCCUCAACUUUUCAUUUCCUGAAACAGCCCUCCCUGGGCCAUUUUCGUAGUGAGGGACCGGUCCCAGCUCGGGGAGACCGGUCCCCGAAGGCUGCCAUUUCGAGCAGAGGGGAUUUCGUGUUCGGGAACCGGUCCUUGCCUGAGAGACCGGUCCCCGGGAGACCGGUGCUGGUCCGAGAGAUCGGUUUCCGAGAGCUGCACUUUCGGGACUUAGCCAAAUUUCGGCUUUUCUCGCUGGGCCAACGUUCGGGAACCGGUCCCUGCCUAUAGGGACCGGUCUCAUCAGAGACCUCCGCAACCCAGCCUGAUGGGACCGGUCCCUCCCUGCCAGGGUGUCACGCCCCGGGACCGGCGGAGGCCCUCCCGGUAGCGUGCCCAGACCCGCCAUAUGUCUACACAUAUAAGGCGUCUACAAUAAAAGCGGAAGUAAAAGCAAGUAAUAAAACAAAUCGAAGAAGUGAAAUAAUGAGCAGCUAAUGAUAUCAGAGCGAGUAAAGUUCUAACAUCUACACCAAGGUAAAGAAAUAAAGCUAGACAAUAAAAGAAGUCAUAAGUAGUACAAUAUCUGUCUCAAAAGUACAAAAACGGUGGUCACUAAUACACUGGUAGAACUCUCAACCUCUCGCAAGAGGAAACAAAAAUCGAGAGGUAGACCACCUAGCAACUCGUCCUCGAAGGAAGCUAGCUAGAAAGCAACUCCCUUCCCGCGAUCCCUGGCCUCACCCUGAGUGGAAGGCUCUGUAAAACAUCGAGAAAAAGAGGGCAUGAGAACUAUAAUUUAUAGUUCCCAGUGGGCAAUUACUGACCUCACUCAUCGCACCACUAGGCCCCAAAAAAGGGGCGUAAGGUAAGAAUAAGCAAAAUAAGAAUAAUUAGUAACAAUGUAGAAGCGUAAUAGACUGGUGCUAAGCCAUAUUCUCAAAGUAAGCAAUGAUGCCAUUGGUAAUGUACAUCUAGCACUACAUUAAGUAAUAAUCCGAUGCAUACUAAUAUGUUCACACAUAAAAGCAAGUAGCCUCACGAUACGUAUGUCAAUGCAUAAGGUAAACUCUUAUCCAAACACGAGUACCUACGAUGACAAUGAUAAUUGGCCAAGUAUACUAAAUUACAAUGCGUAUUACAUAAAUAGCGUGUCAAUAAUUCCAAACUACUCCUAUCUAUAGUGAUUGUUCAUAAAUCAACACGUGUCGAUUUCAUUUCCAAUACAAGGACCAACUCAAGUGGUCCAGCUUGUGCCGCCUAAGUGUCUGUGGUACAUCGACAUCCCUACUCUUGAAGUGUCUUCCCACUCGACCGUAGCACGUGCUUCUCAAUACGCUCACUGAUGCGAACGUAGUCGCGUAGCUAACCCCGGAGUGCCGGCUUUGUAGGAGCGACCCAGCACAGCAUCGUGCGAAUGGACACAAUGGCAAGCAAGCGAGUCCAUAGUCUCCAAAUAUCCAAUCUCAUGUCUCCUAACAUGGUAUCAUCAUAACUAGCAUCCCCGAAGAUCUGCUAGUCACAUUGAAUUGGUAUUUUUUGCCGACGCCUAGCUGCCCUUGAUGAUGACUUAGGCAAUUUGAUGUCGCAACUGUAACCCACAGCUCGCUCGAUGGCACUACUCACGACAGGUUCACAACAUUGUCGCACUCAAUGCCGCUUGAGACAUUAGCAUCUCGUAGUUUCAGCUAUACAUUUAAGUUCAAUACCCUAUAUGCAAUUUUUGUCACUCUUUUACAUGUCUCAAGAUAAACCUUAAGUUAAAUGCAUGAUCCAAAGCUCAUUUACAGCUCAUAUAGAAGCAUGAACUCACCAGUCUCAUAUAGAACUAAUGCAACACAUAGGCCUACCAAGCUAACUCUCUUACUUAACAUAUGAGUCCAAAAUUUCAACAUGCAUAACUUAGCGCGCCUUUUAAGCAUUUCUAAAAUUCCCUGGAAUAAUGUAUAUAAUAAAGAAUAUGCAGCUUUUUCAAUUACCGAGCAUAAAGUAACCAUAUACAUGAGAAUUUCUCCAUAUGUAGGCAGGUCAAACCCCACCGAACGCGUCGCGUAGGUCUCGAUCCCGCGAACAAGUUGGUCCCCGAGUCUCAAAUUAUCCUAUAAAUAAUGUGACGAUACAAGAUAACAUGGGCAUUACGACCUAGUUUAUAAGAUCAAAACUCUUAAGACAUUUUAGCAAAAGGCCCACCAAAACUCACCCAAGCAUAAAAUCCUCUCUAAGCUCUCAAGGAGAGUAAGAAUCAUUCCAAUCCAAAGCCCAAGAGUUCUAGUCCAACACAUCUACUCCAUAAAGCCUCCAAAGCACAAAUGCCCAAUAGACCCUCAAAUUUCCAUUUCUAAGGGUUUGAUCUAUGAAUUCGAUUCACAAAAUUCACUAUUCUAUAGGAGACGACCAAGUAGAUUACCUCCUACGAAGCUCAAUCUACAGCUUGUAACAUCUCUAAGUCCAAGGAUCUCCCUCAACUCUCCAUAACCAAGCCUCAAUAGGGAAAGUCUCAAAUCAACAAAGAGAGGCAAAAGAGGGGUUUAAUCUCUUUAAACAAUAUCCAAAAAAUCAACAGAAAACAAAGAGGUGACAGGGUGGGGCCUCCCCUAUCCUUCUCUCUGUCCAAGCUCAGGAGAGCCACUAGGGGCGUGGGGGAUACAUAUAACAAUCGAACAAUUAGCGAAAAACCCCACUGCAGUUCAAACUGCUUCAAGAAUCUGCCGAAACGUGUAUCGCGUACACCGGAAAGUGUACCGGUCACACAUCUACGAAAUGCGAAACGAAGGCUCGGCGUUCGAAUUUCCCACAGUGUACCUGGUACAGACUACAUCAACGCGUCCGGUACAAUAAUGUGUACGUACGACCAUCAACGAGUCGUACCGUACACCUUGUCAAAUCAAUCCGAGGGUAGGCUAAGUCCAACUUUUUGGUGACCUUAGCGCUACAUAAAAUACUACAAUUCUCGAAAUACGUGCCAUAGGUCGGAACACUGUCAACGACCCACCAGAAAGUCUGGAAAGACUCGGGACACUGUCCAAACACUCGAACCCCGCAAUUUGCAAAAGUCCGGUGCGUCACACAGAGACUGGUCACCGAGAGCAUUUCUGCUCCAGUGCAAGUUUUGCAAUUGGUGCUCUCGCGGACCCUUCCUUAGUGCACUUAAUGCGUUAAAAUCACCUUCGGACUUUCCAAAGCUUACACACUCGACAACUACUCGAUUCUGAUUGAAGUCUAAUCCUCGAGUUUUGAGAAUUCACUUCCUCACACCAUGUCUCCACGGUCCAAGGAUCGAUCACCUCUCCGUCGAACGUAGGCGGAUGGAACUUCGUAAAUCUCGUGAGAGCCGUGUAUCCACGCUCUCGCUCCGCCUCAUCAGCUGCUACCCUCGGCAUAGGGGAUCUAGACACCGCAGGAGGAAUAUCCACCGGUGGGGGUUGCGCCGCCACCGGAACCGGCACAUCGCCUACACCCUCAGUCGCAUUGGGAGCGCGAACCGCAGGCGCAGGCAGAUCGCGGCCUGGACCAACUGCCGCAGCCGCCGCCGCCGCCGCCACAGCUUGUCGCUCCAACAAUUCCUGGAGCCGAUCGAUCGGUCCCAUUAGCGUAGCAACUUGCGCUCGCAACUCCUGUCCCUCGCUAGGCCCAGCUGGCUCUGGCGCCCCCGGAGGCACAGCUGGCUCGAGCACCUCUGGAGGUGGUGCCGGAGCAGUCCUACGCACAUAACGUCUCUUCGGUGCCAUCAACUCCUGAAACGCAAAUAGUUGGUUAAUUAUUUAACCCAACAACGUCGUCGCAGUUAUGAAACAAAACAACCCAACCACAUUAAUCAGACGGAAGCUCUUAGGCGUACUCAUUCUCGACUCUCGGCAUCGUGUCGUCGGCCGCCAACACAACCGCCUUAAGCCAAGAGCUAGUAUCACUCAAUUCAUCUCUAGCAACUACUAGAGUAUCAACACCAAUCUCGACCCAAUCGAUCAACUUCCGUCGCAUCAUAGGUUCACGUCGCACUCACGCACCUAUAACCUUAUGGUUCACCAUCCUAGAGUCUCCUAGGUCAGUCCUAGACUCUCUCUUUUGCUUGCUCUUACUCGCUUUGAUACCACAAACUGUCACGCCCCCGCCCCGAGGCCGAUACCAAUUUGGUCCGGUUCGUGCGCGGCGGAGGACCGCCGAACGGACAGCACCUCCCCUGUCCGCCCAAGGCUCUCUACAAAAGUUAAGUCGUUUAUGGAUAGAUAGACGUAUAGAUAGACACGGACGAAUCUGGAUCACCCCUCUAGCCGCCUCAGCCGCCGGCUUGGGUGACCCUUGAUAAGCAUCAAGAGUAGGGUGAAACAACGUCCAGGCUCAUGCUCAUCGGGGCCACUCCUAGCGCCGUUCCCGCAUCGCGGGAUUACCAUAAUCGUGUAUCGAUCGAAAUGAAGGAAAACGUAAUCGAUGGGAUAUGAAUAUAACUCUCAUCUACAACAUAUCCCACUCCAAAACUCUCCUAACAUGAACAUAUACUAGUAUAAAACCCUUUUCUUGUUUUCUCAACAUUAAUUUACAUAAUUCAACUUACCUACAUUAUCUUAUCAAUUCAUAGAAAGAAAGUAAGUGAACAUACCGACAUAAUGAGCACUACGAACGAGAGCAUAACAUAUCGUGAUAAACACGAAAGCACCAUACUAACACAUACAUAAGUUCAACAACAGGACCCUUGAACAACAUGUGUUAGAGCAGUAANNNNNNNNNNNNNNNAAUUCUUCUCAUAAUCCUUUAACUGCCGUGAAGCAUAAGCAAUCACCCUACCAUGCUGCAUCAGUACGCAACCAAGUCCACUGUGCGAUGCAUCACUGUAGAUCACAAAUCCUUCGCCCAUAACAGGAAGGGCAAGGAUAGGAGCCGACAUUAACCUCAAUCUCAACUCGUCAAAGUACCUCUGACAGUCGUCGCUCCAGACAAAACGAAUCCCCUUCCGCGUCAAGCGCGUGAGGGGUGUGGAAAGCUUCGCAAAGCCUUCCACAAAUCGACGGUAAUAUCCUGCCAGUCCCAGGAAGCUCCGUACCUCAGUAACCGUCGUCGGUCUAGGCCAAUCUCGAAUCGCCUCAAUCUUCUUCGGGUCCACUACUACGCCCUCAGCUGAAAUCACAUGGCCCAAGAAAGCAACCUCCCGUAGCCAGAACUCGCACUUCUUUAACUUGGCAUACAACUUCUUCUCGCGCAGAAGUUGUAGCACAAUCCUCAAGUGCUCCUCAUGCUCAGCAUCACUCCGGGAGUAAAUCAGGAUAUCGUCGAUGAAGACUACCACAAACCUAUCCAAGAACGGCUUGAACACUCUGUUCAUCAAAUCUAUGAAGGCGGCAGGGGCAUUCGUCAAUUCAAAAGGCAUCACCGUGAACUCAUAAUGCCCGUACCGAGUCCGAAAAGCCGUCUUGGGAACAUCCUCCGCCCUCACCCUCAACUGGUGGUAACCUGACUGGAGAUCAAUCUUCGAAAAGACACAAGAUCCCUGUAGCUGAUCAAACAAAUCAUCAAUGCGCGGCAAGGGAUACUUAUUCUUGAUGGUCACUUUAUUCAGCUCCCGGUAAUCCACACAUAACCUGAGCGAACCAUCCUUCUUCUUUACAAAUAACACCGGCGCUCCUCAAGGCGACACACUGGGUCUCACAAACCCUCUAUCCAUCAGAUCAUGAAGUUGCGCCUUUAGCUCUCUCAGCUCUGCCGGUGCCAUCCUGUAAGGUACCUUUGAGAUUGGUGCAGUUCCAGAAACUACAUCAAUCACAAACUCAAUCUCUCUCUCCGGCGGCAACGUCGUCAACUCAGGGGGAAACACAUCCGGAAACUCGCGGACUACUGGGAUGUCCUCGAGUCCCGGCGCCGCCGUAGGUACCUCCACAACUGUCGCUAGGAACGCGAUACACCCACUGCUCAGCAUCUGUCGAGCCCUCGCCGAAGAUAUCCAGGUGGCAAACAGCGUGCUCCUGCAGCCUCUGAAAGUAAACUCCUCCUGGCCUGGCUCGCGGAACGUCACCGUCCUCGCUCCACAGUCGAUCGUAGCAUAGUACCGCGCCAGCCAAUCCAUACCGAGCACUACGUCGAAGUCCUGUAGCUGCCCUAACACGAACAGGUCUGCGGGCAUGAUCGAAGAGUCUAACUGCACCGGACAGGACCAACAACACUCUGUAACCUGCAAGACAUGGUAGGGGAUCUGCACCUCUCGUGCCUGAGACAACGCUCCUAACUCUAGACCAUGCAACAAUGCAAAUGCUCGGCUAACAAAGGAAUGCGAUGCACCGGUAUCAAAAAGAGUGCGAACUCUAAUGCCAGAAAUCAAAGUGAUACCUGCCACCACUCGGUCGGCUGCUGAAGAGUCCUCCACCUGAGCUGCGUAGACCCUGCCACUCGGAGCCUGCUGUCGCCGCUCACUCGACCGCGGCACAGACGAUCUGUCCUCCUGGCGGUAGCUCGGUGCUGCUCCGUAAGACUGCUGUGGUGCUGGUGGUGCCGAAGCUGAUGACGGUGCUGGAGAUGCUGCUCGGGGACAAGCUGCCCUCAUGUGUCCCGGCUGACCACAUCCGUAGCACCUGCCCUCUCUCUGCUCGCACUGCCGAGGCCAGUGUGGUCCCCCGCAGAUCACACACUGUGGCGUCCUCUGAGUCUGCCCCUGCUGACGGGAUCCCCUGGAACGCUGACGCCCCGAAGACCCACGACCCUGAGAACGUGAUCGUGGAGGUCUCGGCGGACGUCUGCUGCUCGACUGCCCUCCGUCAUCUGGAAAGGGGCGCUUCCUGUCCUGACCCUGCCCCACGGCCUGAGUCCUCUCCUGCAGCGACACCUCACCUCUCUCCACCCAUAGGGCCUGCUCUAUGGACGCAUCCAGGGUCCUCGACCUCUGCGCCCGCACUAACCUGAAGAUGUCCGGUCUCAGCCCCUGCUCGAACAUGUAUACUCUGUGCGCCUCGUCUCUGGCCGCAAAUGGUACACAGUUCAGGAGUCGAGUAAACUCCCGAACGUACUCCUGCACUGGGCGAUCUCCCUGCUGAAGCCUCCUCAAAUCCUCCUCGAGCUUCUGCUUCACACUGUUGGGAAAGAACAUCCCAAACAGCAUUCCACAGAACUCAUCCCAACUCAGCUGCGCCGCCACUAGCCCCUGGUCUCGCCUCGUUCUCCGCCACCAGUCAUGAUCAUCACCUGCUAGACAGUGUACUCCCAGGGGUACCUGCUCCCCCUCUGGAACGAACAGAUCCUCGAAUAACUUCUCCAUCGCACUGACCCAUCCCUCAACAAUCCAGGCCUCAGUGCUUCUGCCAUCGAAGAUCGGUGGAUCAAAUCGGCAAAAACGAGCUAACCUCUCCGUCCACCGCUCCUGCUCGGCCUCAGUCAACGGUACUGGCCCCCUAGCAGGCGUAACUGGCGCUACUGGAACUGCUGCCGAUGGAGGAACUGCUGCAGCUGGUGCUGUCACUGGGGUAGUCGGGGGUGGAACUGGCGACUCUGGUGCCCUCGGUACAGAACUCGGUGGCUGAGCUAUCCUCUCACACAACCUCUGCAAUAGCUCCCCCUGCUGUCUCGUCACCUCGGUCAGGGCAGCUAACUGUGCACUCAAAUCAGGAGGUGCGCUAGUCUCCGGUCGGGCCCUCUGCUAAACAACUGGGGGUGCACUCGCCUCUGCCUGCUCAGGCAUCUCGGGAGAUCUAGCACGAUCCUGCGCCAACUGCGCACGCUCCCGCAACGACGGUCGACCUCGGCGACGAUACAUAACUGAAAGGAACAAAUCGGGGUCAGUUGAAACACAAACACUCUUGACCCAAUCAACGAAAGUCUGGAAGGCGGUCCCUGUUUCCCUCCAAAAUUAUGUCGUCUGCAGCCAACAUAAUUUCUCAGGCCGAAACAGGAACUCCUUCAGUCACUCACUCUACUAUAAGAGGAGUUAGAACAAAUAAUCAUUGACUUUUGCAAUUAAAUUAUGCCUCUCGCGUCCUGCUUUCCUAAGGUUUGCCAAACUUAGGUUUCCUAGGUCCCAACGACCUACAGCAAAGAUCUGAUACCAACUUAAUCUGUCACGCCCCGGAUUACACGUUCCCCGGGCACGCCGACAAAUCCGCCGUAUACAAAUAAAUUUUUCCUGUAUACGAAGCGAUAGCUGUACCUGUAAAUCAAACACUACUACGAAAAGUAGUAGAGAGCUGCUAGAGAAAACAGAAGCUAAAUAAAACAGAGUUUCAUAUACAUAGUUCAGAUCCAAAAUACAGAGCUACUCGCACUGGCGAGUUAAGUCAACUAUGUACAUAAACUCGAAACAAAACAUCUACCUGCAGUAGGGCACCUCUAGCUCAGUGCGUCGGGUAGGGCUCUAACUCGCGAUGCCCUUGCCUCGAUCCUGGUCCGCAGACGGUGCAGCAGCCGGCACCUGUGGCUCUGCAAAAACAUAGGUAACAACUGGGCGUGAGAACUACUGUAAAAACAAGUAGUCCUCAGUGGGUACCGCCCAAAACAACAUCGGUCACCCACUAAGUCUACAGAAGGGAGCUAAGAUAGAAGGAAAGCAGGAAUCAUACUCUACCGCUAUCAUCCACUACACUAUCAUGCUCUACACUAACCAACUGUAGAAAAUGUCAAAUCUGACCCAAUCCAAUCGGGACUGUAAGCAUACCCGUCCCCGGGACUGUGAAUACACCCGUCCCUGCCCCGUUGCGACUAUCAAGCUCUAUCCACACUAACUGGUCCGUGGAGAGCAAGUCCAACUGGCAUGAGCGACACCAACGCAAAAGCACAAGCCUGACUCCGGAGUGGCACUCGUGGGCGCUACCCAACCGAGUAUGCAGCGUAUCUCUGUCGAGCUCAAUCAGGCUCCAACUAGCCAAGGUCAAGUGAUCGACUCAAACUGGUCAAACAACCAACAGGUAACGUGCCCUCGGCACAAUCUGACGCCAAAAAGGCGAUACGGGUCCACCGUCAACUCUGACGGCACCCAACAGUCCGAAACGACCUGAACAACCCUGUAAAAAUCUACUCGGCGAACCAGCACGAGUGUAAAUACAUUCUAAACUACCUGGAGUACUCGUCUCGAAGAAACUGCGACAGUACAAUUUUCUAACGGCUCCUAGAGCUAAAUCAGGUAGUUAAAACUGGUGACAGGCCCAAAUCGCAAGUUUUCUCCUAAUUCAAUUUCCAAGUCCAACAUAUAUAAUCUAUUUACUUGAUAAAAUAUGCUCGAAAAUUCAGAUUUUACAUUCUAAAGAUAAUCCAUGAAUUUGAGCUAAACUUUAAUUACCGAAAUCAAGAUCUAUACAUGUCGACCAAUAAGAACUUAGGAGUAAAGCCGAUGUAACCCACCUAAAAAUGCAAAUCCUUGGCAGCGAAGGACUCCCACUGGUGUAGAGCAACUUGCUGGAUCAAACGCACAGCUCCGAGUCCAGAAAUCGUCCACGCUCGAGCUCCACACGACAAUAAAUCACCGUUUCAGUCCCGAAUUUCAGCAGUGAGGUACAACAGGGAUUCGACCAAGCUUACCUUCACCAAAUCCAGCAAGUUAGGGCUUCGUGGAUUCCUCUCGUAGUCCUGAAUCCAACGAGCCAAGUCUCGUCGCAAUCCGAUGCUCCUACGUCGAGAACGAGCCAAAAUACAAACAGUCGACGGUGAAAUUCUGCGAAAACAGCACUUAAGCUCUAAUUUGAUGAUACCCGGAUUAAUCGAAGCCACUCCAACAGACACUCACCUCGACAACACCGGGCACCGCUGCGACAGCAAAAACGGCGAAAUCCUCCUCUCGCCCGGCCUUCUCGCGCUGUAACGGCAGCAACCGUAUCCCCGGACGGCUCCGCGGCGCGACGUCGGCAACGAAAGCUCCAACCGAGAUCCUCCCUAGCCUAAGAUCUGUUGGAGAGUGAGAGAGAGGAAGUAGCAACAGAGGAACUCCCUCUCUCUGUCCUCAUAAGGCUAAAUAGAGAGAGAGAGGGCUGGUGAUACAAACGAGGGAGAGAAAAGACCAAAACACCCUCUCACCUACCCUGGUGUACCGGUACACGGGAUUGCGUACCGGUACAGGAAGCAACCCGAGAGCAGAUUGCGCGGCAUCAGUAUAGUGUACCGGUACGCCAUGAUGGCUGUACCGGUACAGCAAGCAGAAAAAUCUGCUAUUUUGCAGAUUUCUUCGCUAAAAGCCGCCCUCGCGUCGCACAGAGUCCGUUUUGCAUCAAUUUGACGCCAACGCGACUAGGACUUGUCCCGACACUCUCCAGAGCUGCCGACAAGCCUCCACAACUGAACACCAGGGAUCUCACACUUUGACUUUGUGGACCCUUCGUAGGUCUGGUCGAUGGCUUUGUACAUCUUAGGGACAAACGCGACAGAGAUACAUGUGGGUAUUUCGAUCCGAAGUCGGUCUAGUGGUGCACGCUCGCUGAUGUUCCCUCCACCUUCACUUUCUAUACUUCUUGCAUUACUUGUGAUUGUUAAGCCUGACACCAUACGACCCUAUUGCAUGUUGCUCUACUUAGUUAUUUUUAUAUUCACUUAUUGUGAUCCACAAGUAAAGCAAUUAUUUACUAUCCCAUGGAUUGUGACAUCCGUUGUGACCUAGUUGGUCAGUUAUGUGACUCUCGUUGUUUGAUGAUCUAUUUGGUCAGUAUAACUUGAGGGGUUUAAUUGUUGGCUACUUGCCGACAACUAUUGAUCAUAUUUGCAUCGAUCGUCAUUGCUCAUACGCAUUUCACGUACACCAGCGAUUUGGACACCGCAACGGUGUUCUUUUUCGAAAAUGUGGUCAGACUUCCGACCCGUGAACCCAGAAACUUAUGCUACCGCAAUGGUGUUCUUUCCGAAAAAUUGAUCGGACUUCCACCAUUACUCGUACGCUUUUUACGUACACCAGCGAUUUGGCCACCGUAACGGUGUUUUUUUUUUCGAAAAAGUGGUCAAACUUCCGACCUGUGAGCCCAAGAACUUAUACUAGGGUUAUAUGCUAUUUAGAGCGGCGUGACACUUGCCUGAGGUCUUUAGACCGACACGGCGGAUCUGGAUUGGUUAUUUUGAUGAAAAGGACUUGUAUAAAUGUUAACUUGGGAGAUGUAUCAUUUAUAUAAUGAUGUAUGAAAAAGAUGUUAGAAAAUUGCGUACGGUAAAACGCAGCGGAAAAAGAAAUCAAACAAAUUUGAUUUUGAAAAACUCUCGAGAUCUAAUCUCAAAAACCACGCAAUUAGGAUCCCUCAUGUUCUUUAAGAUUAAAGGAGAAAAGUAAGAUCGAAUCAUUACUUUUUUCGCGGAUAAAUUCUUGCCUCAAUUUGAUAAUCGUGGAAUCGGGUUCUCUUGAAGCCGCACACGCGUCCGGCCUCUAUAGGUAUCCACAUGAGGUUCUUGAUUUGAUCGAUGUCCUCACCGGGGUGCUAGCUCCCUUGCAAAAGGACGUCUUUCUUGCUAGAUGAUGGAAGAGAGAAGAGAGGAUAGAUGACGGCUUGGGUUUUCUAAAAACUCCCGUAUAUUAUAUAUAGGAAUAUAAUCCUAUUCCUAAUAAUAUAAUGACAAUUAAGGAUAAGUAUAAAUCUAGAUUUAAAUUUAUCUUUUCCUUAAUUGGUUAGAUCGAUCAAAUCCUAAUUUGAUUCGACUUGAAUUUUAUAUUAAUUUGAUCUUAUCAAAUUAAUAAUGCAACAUUUGCACAUAAGUCCUCUUAUAAUUUACUAACUAUUAGUAAGUCCUCUCUUGUAACAUUUACACUUUAAUACCACUAAUUUGUAACAAUUACAAAUUAGUCCAAUUAUCAACAUAUUGACAAUUAGGUCCUCCGGCGAUUCAAUAAUCGCGAUCUAGCUAUCCGAUCAAUCACAACCUCUUAUGUGUGUGACCCCAUAGGUUCUAUUCUAUCUGGUAGUGAGAUAUAUUUUGAUCACUAUCAACAAUAUCACUGAAACUCCUUUCAAUGGAUUAGAACAAUUCCAACUCAGCCCAAUGAGAAUUAUCGAUCAUCUAGAUAAUUCUCAUGAGUCUCACAAUCCACCAGUGACGCCUAGCAGCAUGUAGUGGCAUUCCAGUAGAAUGGAAUACUGAACCUCUUGGUGCAGUUACCGUGUGAUACAAUCCUUCUAUCAUGAGUCCCGACUAGACGGAGGUUAUGGAAUAACUCGUCAAACCCCAUCGUCUGUCAUAUGUUAAAUUUAUUCGACUCGAGUUUCUAAUAUCGGAAACCCUUUUCCGCUAUUUAUUCUGCCCUGGCCAAGGUCUUCUAAACUCGGUCUCAUAAAUCACAUAGGACUAACACCCCUAUCUACCAAGGGAGAUAGAUUCCAUCUAAGUGCGCACCCUAUUCCUACAAUGAACCUACUGCAGCCAACAUGCACCGCAAGGACCCGAAUGGCUAGGGACCAAGUGUAUGUACAGUCAAACUACAGUAACCUCAUUGUGAAUAGCCGAGGCACCGCAGGUCAAAGGACCAGUCACACUACUGCAACAAUUGAGUAAGUCACUGACGAGUGAGUAGACAUCCAAGUGACUUCUCGCGUUGGUCACGCUCGGUACCCUUGUUCUCUAACAACCACCUGCAUAUUCGCUUCAGUGUCCCCACACUGUCGACUCGAAACUCGUCUACCCUGAAAGGGAAGCGACUUAUGCACCAAUCUCAUUGGAUCAAUCACCGUCCCCGUGAUGAUCCAUUGAUCGGGAGCAUUUAGGAAUUAAUCACCAAUGACACAUGUCUCAAAUUCUCAACACUUGAGAAUAUAUGUCAUCAUCUUAUUAAUUCCUUGGACGAUUCAUGGACACAUACACAACAUGAAUGGAAAUAAAAACCCAAAGUUAUUCAUAAUAUUUUAAAAUCAAAUACAAAAUUAUGUCCUAGAAAGAAUACAUGUGUCGGCCUGGUUGGCUUCUAGGGCAUACAUCUAACAAAAGAUAGUUGUAUUUUGGUUAAAGUAAUCAAAGUUCAAUGUAUGGAUGUAAUAGUUAGAAUUUACUUUCACUUGCUUGGUUACUUGCUCUCGUGAAAGUCAUGUGUAUUGAUGUUUUUUCUAAGCAACUCAUAAUACAUGCUACUGUUGUUGUGGUUGAGCCUUGGGCGAACAGGGGAGAUUCUAUCCGUUCGGCGUCUGUGCGCGUACCCGAACCGACCAAAUUGGCUGUCACAGGGCAUGACAGUAAGUGAUUAGGCAAGAUACAUGUACAACUACCGCUACUGUUAGUAAAAUGCAACAAAAGAUGAACAUAAGGGGUACAACUAAUGCCACAGGAGUCCACUACCUAGGGCGCUAUGCCCUUGCCGCGACCCUCCACCACCCCGCUCGUGCUAGGAUCCGCAAAAAGAGUAGGGUGAGAACUACAAGAAGUUCCUAGUAGGUUCGGCCACCGACCCCACCGACUUUCCCACUAGAUCUAAUCAGGCAUAAGCAGAGAAAGAAAUAGAUAGAUAACCAAUUCUAAACUAAUGCAACUACUAUGUAUGUACAUGAAACGGAGCAAUACAUAUCAUGCAUGCAGUUUUCGUUUGCCUUUAUCUUGUCACGCCCCGGAUAUCACGUUCCUCGGGCACGCCGACAAAUCCGCCGUAUACAAAGAAAUUUUCCCUGUAUACGAAGGGUCAAAAGUACCUGUAGAUAUGCAAUACUACAAACAGUAGGAUAGAGCUGCUCAAUAAACAAAAGCUAAACCAACUGAGCUUCAUAUACAUAGUUCAGAAUCCAAAAUACAGCGUUACUCGCACUGGCGAGUUAAGUACUAUGUACAUAAGCUCGAAGUAAAACAAUUACCUGUGGUAGGGUGCCUCUAGCUCUGUCAGUCGGGUAGGGCUCUAGCUCACGACGCCCUUGCCUCGAUCCUGGUCCGCGGAUGGUGCAGCAACCGGAACCUGUGGCUCUGCAAAAACAUAGGUAACAACUGGGCGUGAGAACUACUGUAAAAACAAGUAGUCCUCAGUGGGUACCGCCCAAAACAACAUCGGUCCACCCACUAAGUCUACAGAAGGGAGCAAGAGUAGUCAGAAAAGCAGGAAAAUAACUCUACCGCUACCGAUCACUACACUAUCAUGCUCUACACUAACCAACUGUAGGAAAUGUCAAAUCUGACCCAAUCCAAUCGGGACUGUAAGCAUACCCGUCCCCGGGACUGUGAAUACACCCGUCCCUGCCCCGUUGCGACUAUCAGGCUCUAUCCACACUAACUGGUCCGUGGAGAGCAAGUCCAACUGGCAUGAGCGACACCAACGCGAAAGCACAAAGCCUGACUCCGGAGUGGCACUCGUGGGCGCUACCCAACCGAGUAUGCAGCGUAUCUCUGUCGAGCUCAAACAGGCUCCAAUUAGCCAACGUCAAGUGAACAGGGUCAAAACAGGUCUACAAACCAAACCCACGUGCCCUCGGCACAAUCUGUGACCAAAACAAGAAUCUGGGUCCACCGCUAACCCGAACGGCACCCCAACGACCCGAAACAGUCUAAACUCUGCUGAAAAAUAAGCUCGGCAUCUCAGCACGAGCGUAAAUGCCUUCUAAACUACCCCAGGUAUCCAUCGCAACGAUACUGCAACGAUACAAUCGAAUCACGGCUCCUAGAGCUAAAUCUGGUAGUUUAAGCAUAUGACGAUUCCAAUCGUGUGUUUUCCUAAGUCAAUUCCCAGUCCAACAUGUACAUUUAAGAUUUACUAGUCAUGUUCUCAAUACUGAUUAUAUCCAGGAUAGCAUCACGAAUAUCAAGCUACAACAUGAUUACCGAAACUAAAAAUCAUACAUGUUGACGAUUACGGUACUUAGGAAUAAACCGAUGUAAACCCACCUAGAAAGCUAUCCCCUGGCAGCGGUACACUCUCACAGCUGUGGCGCCACCUGCUGGGUCGAUCGUAGCCCUUCGAACCCAAGAAUCGCGCUAACUCCAAGCUCUACACCAAACAAUUCACCGUUUCAGUCUAGUUUUCGCAGCAGUGGAGUACAACAAGGAUUUGACCAAGCUAACCUUCACCAAAAUUCACAAGUAAGGGCGUCUUGGAUUCCUCUCAAAGUCUCGAAUCCAACGAACCAAGUCUUGACGCAAUCCGAUGCUCCUACGUCGAGAACAAGCUGAAAUACUAACAGUCGACGGUGGAUUUCAGCAAACAACAACUAUCCGAGUAGAAGUAGUAAACACUUGCCCAUAAAUCAAGAAAAACUGAAAUACCCACCUCGACAACGCCGAGCACCAGAGUGACAGCGAGAACGGUGAAAAUCCCUGCUCGCCCGACCUCCACGCGCUACCCCGGCGUCAAACACAAGCUCGAACGGCCUCGCGGCGCGACGUCGGCGACAAAACUCCAACCGAGCUCCUCCGUAGCCUAAGAUCGGUUUGGGAGUCAGAGAGAGAGAAAGUAAUAGCAGAGGAACUCCCUCUCUCUGUCCUCACAAGGCUAAAUAGAGAGAGGGAGGGCUGGUGAUACAAACGAGGGAGAGAAAAGACCAAAACACCCUCUCACCUACCCUGGUGUACCGGUACACGGGAUCGCGUACCGGUACAGGAAGCCAACCCGUGAGCAGUCGCGCUCAGCCAAUGUAGUGUACCGGUACACCUCGCUGGCUGUACCGGUACAGCAAGCAGAAAAAUCUGCUAUUUUGCAGAUUUCUUCGCUGAAAGCUGCCCUCGCGUCGCACAGAGUCCGUUUUGCGUCUAUUUGACGCCAACGCGACUCGGACUUGUCCCGACACUCUCCAGAGCUGUCGGCAAGCCUCCACAACUGAACACAAGGGAUCUCACAUAUCUUUACCCAAUCCUUUUGGCUAACCCUUUUUGGUUAACCUCAACUCACCAAACCAAAUCCCUUUUAUCGGAAAGAAUACCGUUCCAACACAACGGGACUGUCUGCUGGGGAGAAUUCCGCUACCGCCCAGUUAGUGACAACUCCGGAGUUCACCGCUUGAUGUGGAGCGACCACCCUGAAGCAUAUCAGACUAUCUGUGAGUAUGAUCUAAUCCUCAACCUUGAGGAUACUAACGUUCAUGAUGUUCUAUUUUCUAGCAUUCCAUGUUUCUAGGUGCUAUUCAAUACAUCUAGUUAUAAUGUCGUCAUGUUUACUAUAUUGUCAUCGUCCAUACCUUGAUUCAUACAUUCAUAGGGUUUCAUAUGCCCAAAGUUCUAUUCAUAAUUCAUAUAUAUUCUAAUAUAAGAAAUUCCACGUGUCAACUAUAUAUGAACAUUAACCCUAAAAUGCAUAAUUAUAUACUUAUACAUACAUGUUCAAUGACGACAUAGACAUAACGAGAAAUUUAAUGGUUUCGGAUAGCACUAUCCACCUUGUAGGGAUGCGGAGAUACGAGAAUCUAAGUCCCGCAAUUUAUCUUCACCUAUUUCCCUCGACCCAAUUUAAUAUUUAAAUAUUUAUUUAAAUUUUAAAUUUUAAAAUUUUAAAAUUUAAUAAUUUAAAAUUGUUAAAUUAAUAUUUUUUAAAAAAAAUUAAAUUUUAAAUUUAAAUUAUAAAAUUUAAAUUUAAAUUUAAAUUUUUAAUUUUUAAUUUUUAAUUUUUAAUUUUAAUUUUUAAUUAUUUAAAUUUUAAAUUUGAUAUUUUUUAUUAGGUUAAUUGCAUACACGUCCCUGCAAACAUGAUGAAUUACAGAUAUAUUCCUACAAAGCUUAACUUUCGUAAGUUGUUCCUUCAAAAGUCCUAAUGUAUUCAGAUAUGUCCCUCUGGUUAGGAUCUGUUAAAGAACUGUUAAUUUUUUAACAGUAUGCUCGUGAAAUGAUAAUUUUGUCCUCACAAAUAUGUCCCUCUAAAACCACAUUUGCAGAAAUGUCCUCUCAAUUUUUACCCUUUUCCUCUUUCUCUUCCUCUUCGGGCAGUGGGAGCGGACGGCGACGGCGGCAGAUCAUCGACGACGACGACAAAGAAGAAGAAGGAGGAGAAGAGGAGGAUACGAAGAAGAAGAAGAAGGAGACGGCGGAGGCCGUUGUCGGCCGGUGGCGUCACCAGGGAUAGCCAGCGGGAGCACCGCCCGAUCUCCCAUAAGGAGGAGGUCGGCAUCGGCGGCGAGCUGCUUGAGGGCGUCGGAGGCAGCAACGAGGUCGCUCUGCGUGCGGAGCUUCCCCGCGGGGGGGAUCGGUGUCACGCCCCGGGGUCCUUUUUUUUUUGUUUGGAAAAACAGCGGAAACGACUAAUUUUUUUUUUUUUAAACACCUGACCCCAGAGUAUGUCAGAUCCUCCACAAAUACAGGGAAUCCACUGUUCACACGGACAGAGUCUCCCCUGUAUUUGCACGGCGUCGCACAAGUACAAUUAUACAACCAGAGUACAACCAGAAUACAACCACAACCAUAUGAACAUACUCAGGCCGGAGCGUUGGUGAGCCCGAAAGGCAUCACCGUGAACUCGUAGUGGCCGUAACGAGUCCGGAAGGCGGUCUUCGGCACAUCCUCAGCCCGGAUCUUAAGCUGAUGGUACCCGGACUGCAGGUCAAUCUUGGAGUACACCGACGAUCCUUGCAGCUGGUCGAAAAGAUCGUCAAUCCUUGGCAGGGGAUACUUGUUCUUCACCGUGACCUUGUUGAGCUCCCGAUAGUCGAUGCACAGACGAAGACUACCAUCCUUCUUCUUGACGAAGAGGACAGGGGCACCCCAGGGAGACACACUAGGUCUGAUGAACCCUCUGUUAAGCAGAUCCUCAAGCUGCGCCUUCAGCUCCUUCAGCUCAGCGAAGGUCAUACGAUAGGGGGCCUUCGAGAUCGGUGCAGUGCCCGGAACAAGCUCGAUGAAGAAUUCGAUCUCCCGGUCCGGAGGCAUUCCUGGAAGCUCGGCUGGAAAAACGUCCGGGAAUUCCCGAACUACAGGAAUCUCCUCCAAAGAUGGUGCAGCUCGGCGAGAUACGUCUACCGAAGCCAGGUAAGCCACACACCCGGCAUUCAACAACCUUUUUGCCCUCGCAGAAGAGAUAGUCGCAGCGAAAAAAGAGCUCUUACAUGCUCGGUAGACGAAUACUUCACCACCAGGCUCGACAAGAAUCACCAUCCUCCGCUCGCAGUCGAUAGUAGCGUGAUGCCUGGUGAACCAGUCCAUCCCAAGCACCAGGUCGAAUUUCUUCAUCGGGAUAACCACCAGAUCAGCUAGAAAAGACCGAUCAUCCAAGAAGACGGGGUACGACGAGAUACAGCUGACAGCAGUAAGAUCACCUCCAGGUGUCUCGAUCCGAAGUGAUACAUCGAGUGGUUACGAGGAAAGACCAUGCUCACAUGCAAAUGAAUGUGAAAUAAAAGAGUGCGAUGCUCCAGUAUCGAAAAUGGCUCUAGCACGAGUAAGGCUGAGGGUGACAAUACCUGCAAGGACGUCGCCACCAGUGCCCUCGUGCUGAGUCAGGGCGAAGACUCUCCUACCAGAUGCCUGGCGCGUCCCCUCAGAUUGCCGAGGUAAGGGGGGACGCCCAGACGAAGCAGCUGCACUCGGGGCUCCGCGGCUCUAUCGGGGUGCAGCCUGGGAGGAGACAGCACUCAAAGAAGUCCCGCCAUCUCUAGGACACUGAGCUCGCAGGUGGCCCAGCUGGCCACAACGGAAACAGUGGUCCCUCCGCUGCGGACAUUCGACCACCCGAUGAGCCUGGCCGCAGAUCACACAGGGUCGAUCGCCCCUCUGCUGGUUGCCGGAGGGCGCACUCUUUGUCGCCUGCUGAGUGCGCAGAUGCUUUGGCGGUUUCUUGCUGAAAGAAGAAGAACCACCACCAGACUUGGCGCGAGAACGCUUCUUAUCGCCUGAUCGCUCGGAUGCAUCGCGAUCAGCUCGAACCUCCUCUGACUUACUCUGCACAAUCAGGGCCCGAUCCAGACACUCAUCGAAGGUCAUCUGUAACGCACUGGACCUUUGCAAUUUGCGAGGUUCGAGUGUAUGGCUUGUGUUAUGAGUUUUUCCAGAUUUUCUGGUGGGUCGUAGACAGUGUUCAGACCUAUGGCUCGUAUCCCGAGAAUUGUGGUAUUUCAAGUAGCACUAAGCUCGCCAAAGUGGAGGACUUAGGCUGCUCUCGGUUUGGAAAUUUCGGGGUGGCGUACCGGUACGCGGUGAUGGCUGUACCGGUACAGCCAUCGACCCUGGCAGUCAGAGCGCCAACCCGAGGCUCGGGUUGGGCUGGUUCGUGGGAUGUGUACCGGUACACAAACCCGUGUACCGGUACGCAGUGCAGUAUGGGCUGUUUCGGGGAGGGGUGUAUUUGCAACUGUUACAACACCUAUAUAGGUGACCCCAGCCCCCUUAGCUGCCCUCUUUGAGCCAUAACCAGUGGAGAUCAAGGUGAGUCUCCCCUUCCCUUGUUUGAUCUCCAUUUUUGGUGGAUUUUAUGGUGUUUUGAUCUCUCCCUUCUCCUCUUCUUUGCUUUUGUUGGGUUUUCUCCAUGGUUGAAGACUUGGAGCUUUGAGAGGAGCUUGUUUGUGAGGAGACCUCCAACCCUAGCUGAUUUUGGACUUGGUUUGAGGCUAUUUAGGAGGUUAGUAACAUGUAUUUUUCGUUUGAUACAUGUUUUGUUGGUUUUGGUUAGAGGGAACCCUAGAUUUUGAAUUUUAGGGUUAGAAAUCGGGAUUUUCGAGUUGAGGCUUUUUGAUCUUGAUUGAUCUUAUUAGAACCAUCUUUUAGGUUGGUUUUGAAGGAUUCUUGCCUCCUUUUGGGGAUCAAGAGAGAUAUUCACCAUUUUCGGUGAGUUUUUCCCACCUUAGCUUGAAAAGCUUAAUGUUUGAGCUAUGUGUUGUUUGUAUGGUUCUUGUGACACUUGUUUCCAUACCUUUAGGGUACUAGGAGAGUGGUGGACACCCUCAUCGGAACAAUCGAAGGGUCCCGUCGUCGUCGGUGGGUUUGACCUAGCCACAUAAUGAGAAAAUCUCAUUGUUGAUGAUUUAAGUAUUGUAAAAUGAAAAAGCAUGCAUAUUCAUGUUAGAUGCAUUAUUUGUGAAUUUUAGAAUGCUUAAAAUGCACAUGUUAUAUACAAUGCAUAUUUGACCUCUAUAUAGUAGAGAGUUUUCAUGUUGGGCUAGGGGCCUACGGUUAGCAUUCUUACAAUUGAUUGAGAUCAUGUUGCAUAUGGUACAUAUGGCAUAUAGAUUACACUCUUGGACUUAGAACGCAUGAUUGACGUGGUUGGACAUAUCGACAUUAAGUGACAUAGGCUAGAGUGUAUACAAAUAGUAAGCUAAUGUCAUAAAGCGGCAUUAGGCUUGGACUAGAUAUGGGUUUAGCAAGCUAAUGUCAUAAAGCGGCAUUAGACUUGAUGGAUAUGCAAAUUGCAUGUGCAUGUUAUUAUUAUGAGAAUUAUGCCAAGUUAAUAGUCGCAUUGGGAAGAACUUACAUGUAGCAAUAUGAGAACACGCUAGAGAGCAUGUGUAUUAAUCUAUUAUUGAUAGAACAAGCUAGCGUCAUAAAGAGACAUAGAAUGUGAAUUGAGCUUAGAUUAUAGCAAUGUUUAAGUGUCAUAAAGAGGCACUAAACAUAGUGAAUGUGGGAACUUCACCUUGAGCUUUGGACUUAGUAAAGCUAAGGUCAUUGACAUAGAAUUUUUAUUGAACGGUUAAACCUUCACAUCGAGACAUUGAACUAGAUCUUCGAGAUGCUAGUGACUUUUACCAUGUUAGAGACAUGAUGACUGUUGGGUGGCUAUUACCAUGUUGGAGACAUGACGAUUGGACUAUUGAGGUAUUUGACCAUGCUUGCUUGCCAUUUGUGCUCAUUCGCACAUGCUUGUGAGGGUCGCUCCCUACAAGCCAGCACUCCGGAGUUAGCCUACGCGACUUAUGUUCGCUCGUGCGGUAUCGAGUAGCCUACGGGGCCUGGAGGGAUAGACUCAUUCCUAGAGUGGAAAUGCUGGAGCUACCACUGGCACUUAGGCGGCACAAGCCGGACUACACCUGUGUAGAUCCUGAUUGAGAUUGAACCAGAAUAUUAAGCAAUAAGUGGACAUUCGCUACUAGCUAGGUUAUAGUAGUUGGACUCUUGAUAUGCUAUGGUAUAGUGUUGGACAUUUGGGCUUAGAGUAUGCUUGACAGUAUCCCUUAUUACAUUGUUGUAUUCUUGGUUGCUAUGAUAGUACAUACUAGAUAUAUAGUGGGCUCUAGAAUAUAUAUCACACUUUAUAGCAUUACUUGUUGCAUCAUGAUACAUUGUUUAAGUUUUGGGCAUAUUGGAUCAUGUAGAGUAGAUGUACUCCAUGUUGACAUUCAGAAUACUUGUGGCAUAGUAGAGUAGCACUUUAAUUUCAUGCUUUAAUUACUGUUGAUAUUUCCUGUUAUCUAUACCCGCUUGUUUUGGGCCUUGUGGUGCAAUUUGGUGCAGGUCAGUAAUUGCCCACUGGGAACUAUAAUUUAUAGUUCUCACGCCCCCUGUUUUAUGUUUUCUUUCAGAGCCUUCCACUCCGGGAGAGGCUCGGGAUCGCGGGAAAGGUUUCGCCUCGAGUUAGCUAUCGAGGGACUUGGUGAUAGGUGGCCCACCUCUCUUUUGUUUUCUUUUAGAGAGGUUGUGAGAGUUUGUAC
rnacentral:lncRNA from 1 species